CCAGGCUGAGCCUCAAGGAGGAUUGAGAAAAUAGCAGGCUGGGCUGAGCUUUUACAACAAAUUCAAAACCUAAACUUGCCCCAUGGGUUGUGCCUAAAUGAGCCUACUACAUUUUUCUCAUUUUUUUUUCUUUUUAUUAUGUGUCUAUUUUUUUCUCCAUUUUUUUUUCCUAUGUUUAUAGUUCUCUUUUUUUUUUUCCCAUAAAUUCUUCAAUAACAAAUCAAGUGAAAUCACUGUAAUGCCUCCUUUUAUACAAAGGUAUUGAUAAUUGGCGGAAAAAAAACAUGAAACAUUGAUAUUGGGCUUGGUCUUGGGCUUCCAGCAAACCACCCAGACUUAUAUAUAUAAUAAUUGGGCUUGCAGGCCGAGUCUUAAUGGGCUUUUCGGGUCUGGCCUUCAUGGGCUCAAAUGAACAGGGCUUAUGAGCUGGAUUAGGCUUUAGACACCCCAACCCAUUAAAUAGUGGGCCAGACCAUCCUCAAGACCAUAACGAGCCAUGUUGGGUUGAGUUUUUUCUCGAUGGGCUGAGUGGGCUGCCAUUGGUCCAUGAGCCAGCUAGCCAAAUGAUGACCCCUACUCCUGUCCUAUAUCACGAUGAGACCACUAAAUCCUGCAAAUGGCCGACAACCUUGUGUUAAUAAUAUUAUUCCUUCCAACUUUGUCUACAUCCAUCCCCAUGUUAGGUUACUAGCUACUAGCUAGCUCGCAAGGGCUUGAACAAUACUUAGUGUCUGUUUGGCAUUGAUUAUUUGGCUAAAAAGUGAUUUUUGACAGAAUUUUUGAAGUUUACCCCGUUUGGUAAAAGACAAGAUAAUCAUUUUUAGGAGAAAAUAGCUGUCGAUGACAGUGAUUUUGGAGAGUAGCUCAAGAGCUGAUUUUAUUUCAGGUUUUGCGGAAAGCAAAACACGGAACCGGUGGUGUUUAAUGAAUUCCAAGCAAGUGCGUAUAGUAUCCUUAUUAACUUUUCUAAUUU
rnacentral:lncRNA from 1 species